UACGUAGGGGGCGGGCGUUAUCCGGAAUUAUUGGGCGUAAAGAGUACGUAGGUGGUUUUGUAAGCGCGAGGUGAAAGCCCGGGGCUUAACUCCGGUGAGCCUCGCGAACUGCAAGACUUGAGUGCAGGAGGGGAAAGUGGAAUUCCUAGUGUAGCGGUGAAAUGCGUAGAUAUUAGGAGGAACACCGGUGGCGAAGGCGUCUUUCUGGACAGUAACUGACAUUGAGGCACGAAAGUGUGGGGAGCAAACA
rnacentral:rRNA from 1 species